UCCAGGUGUUGAAUUACCAAAAGCUGCAUAACCCAAUCCUCCGCAAGAUAAGUAGAAGAAAGUUGUCACACAGACUGCAAUUACAGAUGCCUUCUUCAUAGUGACUUUUUCUGGUGGAUUUGACUUCAGAGUGUCCUUCAGGUUGAGUUAAAAUAACAGAACACAUAGGAUGUGGCAAAAAUGUCAUAGUUCCAGUUGUUCUUGUUGCAUUUCUCUCCCAAUUGCAUACCUAUUACUUUGGCCAAGCCAAGUGCUGAUCCAAUGAUAGAAUAUGUGAAGGACAUGACUGCGGCAACGACAGAUAGCCACUCAGUGUUCCGAAAAUCAGGUGGGAAUAUUGGAGAGGCUAAUCAUCAUACCUCAUGCUGAUGGAGGACGUAAUUGUGUAGACAAUACCCACCUUGAUGAAAUUGAUUCGAACGAUUAUGCCACACACCCAAGCACUCUUCUUCCCUGUGAGGCCAAGAUAAGGAUUGUCUUGAUCCCAGUCUCAGGAUUUAACAUAGUGUAAUAUUUUUUACUCACAAGCACAUGAAACUUUAUCUGUACUAACAGGCUAUGCAGAAGAAGAAAAUCUUUAAGUUGUGCUGCAUUUUUUGUGCUUGAAUUCCAUAGGACAUUGGAGCUCCUUUUUCAUGGAAAACUGUAAAUGGACUACUAAUGUAAGGAAGAGACCUCCAUCUGUUACUUGAAGUAACUACGUAGGAGGUGGAACCACGCAAGGUCUGGUUCUGUCUAUUAAUUGAAGUGGCAUAAGGUUUGAGAUGCAAGAAGAAGAAAGAUAAUUGACUAUAAACAAGAAUAUAAGAAUAUUUUGAGCAAGAUAUCCAAAGAAAAAUUCUGAUAUUUUCAAACAUCUGGAUGUUGAAAGAGGAAACUAUUCAGGUAAAUAGUAUCUUCAGUUGAUAUUUAAUUGUUACAUUUGUACCUGCUUUCAAUUUGUGUCUUGGACAUCUGUGGGGCCGAGGGA